rnacentral:rRNA from 1 species
CCCUUAGAUGUUCUGGGCCGCACACGCGCUACACUGAAGGAGGCAGCGUGUACUCCUGGAUCGAAAGAUUUGGGUAACCCGCGAAUCUCCUUCGUGCUAGGGAUUGAGGGUUGCAAUUAUCCUUCAUGAACGAGGAAUUCCCAGUAAGUGCAAGUCAUAAGCUUGCGCUGACUACGUCCCUGCCCUUUGUACACACCGCCCGUCGCUACUACCGAUUGAAUGAUUUAGUGAGGACUUCGGACUGGGACCGAUGCGGCUUUCGGGCUGCGUCGGUAUUCUGGAAAGAUGUCCAAACUGUAUCAUUUAGAGGAAGUAAAAGUCGUANCA